UACAGAGGUCUCAAGCGUUGUUCGGAUUCAUUGGGCGUAAAGGGUGCGUAGGUGGCGGGGUUAGUCAGGUGUGAAAUCUCGGAGCUCAACUCCGAAACUGCACUUGAUACUGCCUUGCUUGAGUACUGGAGAGGAGAUUGGAAUUUACGGUGUAGCAGUGAAAUGCGUAGAUAUCGUAAGGAAGACCAGUGGCGAAGGCGAAUCUCUGGACAGUUACUGACACUUAGGCACGAAGGCCAGGGGAGCAAACGGG
rnacentral:rRNA from 1 species